rnacentral:rRNA from 1 species
UACGUAGGGUGCAAGCGUUAAUCGGAAUUACUGGGCGUAAAGCGUGCGCAGGCGGUUCGUUGUGUCGGCGGUGAAAGCCCCGGGCUUAACCUGGGAACGGCCGUUGAAACUGGCGAACUGGAGUGUGGCAGAGGGGGGUGGAAUUCCGCGUGUAGCAGUGAAAUGCGUAGAGAUGCGGAGGAACACCGAUGGCGAAGGCAGGUUUCUGGGCUGACACUGACGCUCAUGCACGAAAGCGUGGGGAGCAAACAGG